CUCCUACGGGGGGCAGCAGUGGGGGAUAUUGCACAAUGGGGGGAACCCUGAUGCAGCGACGCCGCGUGAGGGAAGACGGCCUUCGGGUUGUAAACCUCUGUCGCAGGGGACGAAGGAGGUGACGGUACCCUGUGAGGAAGCCACGGCUAAAUACGUGCCAGCAGCCGCGGUAAUACGUAUGGUGCAAGCGUUAUCCGGAUUUACUGGGCGCAAAGGGAGCGCAGGCGGCGCGCCAAGUCUGAUGUGAAACCCCGGGGCUCAACCCCGGGCAUGCAUUGGAAACUGGCGGGCUGGAGUGCCGGCGG
rnacentral:rRNA from 1 species